UGCUGCUAUGGAGGUAGAUGCCCUUGACCCCAGGUGGCUCUUCUAAGGCUCCUCAGGGCGGUGGGGGAAUCCAGCAGGCACCCCUUUUGGCCAGGUGCCAGGUAGGUCAGACUGGUGACCUCAGCAAGUUCAGAGCCAUCCUC